rnacentral:lncRNA from 1 species
CAUACCUAAAAUUUUGGCCAGAAUUUUAAGUAUUCACAUAUGUAUUUUCAAACGGUACAAGCUUCUCUGGCUUUAGGACCAAUGUUUGAAAGUGUUACAGUCUGGCCGGUGAAUAUAUGUACAUGUGAAAGUUGAGUUACUGGUUCAGUCAAAUCCUAGCCUGCAAGAAGAGGACAGAGUCUUGAAAGCAGGAGAGAGAGAAAGAGAUCAAGAAAGAAAGACUCUUCAGAGCAGGAGCCAAAGGGAGAAGAUAUGUUUUUGCUAUAUAGACAAACCAGAAACACAAAUAAUUACCAGCCUUUGGUUAGUAAGGAAGUUGCCCAGCAGCGCCUCCUACAAGGGUGAAGGAAACCUGAAGUGCAGACCACCAAGGUGGUUGAGGAGAGGCCAGCCUGGCUUCCUGAAGCCUGAGGGCCUGCUGAGAACACAUCACAACCUGGUGAGUUUAAACCAUUUUCUGUUCAGAAAGGAACACCUACCGAGCUGUGACAUCAGGACCCAUCAGCCGGCGCUGGAGCAGAUGACUAUGAGUGCUUGGACCCAAAUAACCGGAGAAGAACGGCCUCUAUCCCGGCUGAACCACCUGUCCCCAAGGCAAUUCCGCACCUCCAGGGCAGGUGUCAGAGCUUCAGGCCACGGCCUCUUGGCCUGGGCCGUGGCUCUAUGUUCUUCAGAGCCAAUACAAUGCAGCUGCACGUGUUCACCAGGCACCUUCCCGUCUAGUCAACCCUGACCCUCCAGUCCCGGGCCGCGCUGGACACUGCCUUCACCCUCCACCAAUGCCAGGGCCUCUCAUGCAGGACACAGAUUUCUCAGUCUGACUUUGGCUGCUGGUUUGCCUUCACUUGACUCUCAGUGCUGGGUUUUCACUCACUGGUGACAGCAGCCAGCCCUUCCUUUCCCUCCACUCUCACUUCACCCCUACUCCUUGCCUGUGUGUUUUUUAAGAUGAUAGUAAUUAGCAUUGUUAUGACAACAGCCAACAUCUAUUCAGUGUUAAUAAUGUGUUUUACAUAUGAUUACUUCUCUAAGCCUCACGAAAUUCAGUGAGGUAGACAUCACCUUUUUAUAAGGAAAUUUAAACAGAGAGAGACAACAAAAAUCCCCAAGGUCAUAUAGCUAACGGAUGGAAUUGUCGGAGCUUGAACCCAGGCAUUUUCCCUCAAGGACUUGGGCUGCCGAUCUGACUGGAUUUCCACACGUACCCUCCUCCACCACACCCCCCACCCACGACCUCGAUGUUUUCUUUGUGACAACAGAUAUAAUGGCAAAUAUAACUGCAACCAAUGGAUGGCAUCACUGACUCGAUGGACAUGAGUUUGAGCAAGCUCAGGGAGUUGGUGAUGGACAGGGAGGCCUGGCGUGCUGCAGUCCAUGGGGUUGCAAAGAGCUGGACACGACUGAGUGACUGAACUGAACUGAACUGAUAGUUGCAACCAGGAAAUAGGUCACUACUUGUUUCUACUGUCCAACUCAAAUUUAGAUAAGGAGGCCCAAGGCA